CCUCUUAAAUUUUCUAAUGCUGCUGUGCAGAGCUGACAUGUCAAGCCCUAGGAGUUUACCCUUGUUGUUCCGCAUCUUUAUCAACAACUCAGUCUCUAUCCAGGGUUAGAAGUGCAACACACAUAACAGCUUAUACCCCAAAGAGCAUCGAGUUGAAGUGCACAAGUGGAUCCCACAAAAUAAAAGGCAAAUGAUGGGGGAAGAGUGGCUGCAAGAGAGGUAAAGGAACAGAUGUCAGAAAUUUUUUUGGAGGAGGAGAGACCAGGAAAAACAGCACAGCCUUAAGAAAGACCUGAAGGUCAACAAUUUGAACAG